GAUGAACGCUGGCGGCGUGCCUAAUACAUGCAAGUCGAGCGAACAGACGAGGAGCUUGCUCCUCUGACGUUAGCGGCGGACGGGUGUGUAACACGUGGAUAACCUACCUAUAAGACUGGGAUAACUUCGGGAAACCGGAGCUAAUACCGGAUAAUAUAUUGAACCGCAUGGUUCAAUAGUGAAAGACGGUUUUGCUGUCACUUAUAGAUGGAUCGGCGCCGCAUUAGCUAGUUGGUAAGGUAACGGCUUACCAAGGCAACGAUGCGUAGCCGACCUGAGAGAGUGGUCGGCCACCCUGGAACUGGAACACGGUCCAGACUCCUACGGGAGGCAGCAGUAGGGAAUCUUCCGCAAUGGGGGAAAGCCUGACGGAGCAAGGCCGCGUGAGUGAUGAAGGUCUUCGGAUCGUAAAACUCUGUUAUUAGGGAAGAACAAAUGUGUAAGUAACUAUGCACGUCUUGACGGUACCUAAUCAGAAAGCCACGGCUAACUACGUG
rnacentral:rRNA from 1 species